CGGAGUGCUUAGACAUGCAAGUCUGACGAGAAAGUCGCCUUCGGGUGACGAGUACAGUGGCGCACGGGUGAGUAACGCGUGGACAAUCUGCCCUUUGGUUUGGGAUAACCCCGGGAAACUGGAGCUAAUACCGAAUAAGCCCACACCGUCUUCGGGCGGAGCGGGAAAAGAUGGCCUCUCCUUGGAAGCUGUCGCCAAUUGAUGAGUCCGCGUACCAUUAGCUUGUUGGUGAGGUAACGGCUCACCAAGGCUACGAUGGUUAGCUGGUCUGAGAGGAUGAUCAGCCACACUGGAACUGAGACACGGUCCAGACUCCUACGGGAGGCAGCAGUCGGGAAUCUUGGGCAAUGGGGGAAACCCUGACCCAGCAACUCCGCGUGAGGGAUGAAGGCCUUCGGGUCGUAAACCUCUGUCGGGAGGGAAGAAAGCCUCGUUGGGAAUAUCUUCGAGGUUUGACGGUACCUCCAAAGGAAGCACCGGCUAACUCCGUGCCAGCAGCCGCGGUAAUACGGAGGGUGCAAGCGUUGUUCGGAAUUAUUGGGCGUAAAGCGGAUGUAGGCGGUCUGUUAAGUCGGAUGUGAAAUCCCUGGGCUCAACCCAGGAACUGCAUUCGAUACUGGCAAACUAGAGUCUCGGAGGG
rnacentral:rRNA from 1 species